rnacentral:rRNA from 1 species
UACGUAGGUGGCAAGCGUUGUCCGGAUUUAUUGGGUUUAAAGGGUGCGUAGGCGGUUUUGUAAGUCAGUGGUGAAAUAUGUCAGCUUAACUGAGAGGGUGCCAUUGAUACUGCAGAACUUGAGUACAGAUGAGGUAGGCGGAAUUGACGGUGUAGCGGUGAAAUGCUUAGAUAACGUCAAGAACACCUAUAGCGAAGGCAGCUUACUAGGCUGUAACUGACGCUGAGGCACGAAAGUGUGGGGAUCAAACAGG